rnacentral:rRNA from 1 species
UACGGGAGGCAGCAGUGGGGAAUAUUGCACAAUGGGCGCAAGCCUGAUGCAGCCAUGCCGCGUGUAUGAAGAAGGCCUUCGGGUUGUAAAGUACUUUCAGCAGUGAGGAAGGUGGGUAUGUUAAUAGCAUAUUCAUUUGACGUUAGCUGCAGAAGAAGCACCGGCUAACUCCGUGCCAGCAGCCGCGGUAAUACGGAGGGUGCGAGCGUUAAUCGGAAUUACUGGGCGUAAAGCGCAUGCAGGUGGUUUGUUAAGUCAGAUGUGAAAGCCCGGGGCUCAACCUCGGAAUUGCAUUUGAAACUGGCAAACUAGAGUACUGUAGAGGGGGUAGAAUUUCAGGUGUAGCGGUGAAAUGCGUAGAGAUCUGAAGGAAUACCGGUGGCGAAGGCGGCCCCCUGGACAGAUACUGACACUCAGAUGCGAAAGCGUGGGGAGCAAACAGGAUUAGAUACCCUGGUAG